UCCUGCAGGGGGCGCGGUGUGUUUUGCUGCUGUGUGUUGAAGCCCUUAACGGCUCCGUCUCUCCUGCUGCUGCUGCUGUUUGACCUUCUGCAGGCUGCGCAGUUAAAGCGGAUAAAAUGGUGCCUCCGGUGCAGGUUUCUCCUCUAAUUAAGACAGCCAGAUACUCUGCGCUGAUUGUAGGAAUCCUCUAUGGCAAGAAGAGAUACGAUUACCUGAAGCCCAUCGCAGAGGAGGAGAGGCGGAUUGAGGAGGAAGAGAAGAAAGUGAGGGAGGAAAAAGAACGGAUCGCAAAGCAGCUUGCAGAGGCAAGUGAAGACACGAUCCUGAAGUGAGCUGUUUGUGGUGUGAAGUCUGUUAUGGACCCGUUCUGGAGGUCUUUCUCUCUCUGCUCUGCCAAUUUCUUUAUCCUCUGCCUUCCACUCGCCACGUUCCCUCCCACCAGCCGCGCUGGACAAACGCCUCCUGAUUAGAGCGCAUUAAGAAUUGUGUAAACACGUAUGAACAUGUAUAAAUGUGAUUUAUGCCUUGAGUCGUCUGAGUGAUGGGAAACUGUACUGGUUCCCGAUCCCACCUCUGAGGAACCCUUCGCUCUAGAACACUCUAUUACCAUCACAAAGAAUACAAAUAACAGAAAAUGGUCCCAUUGACUUGGAUUGAGAACCUCUUUGGAACAUUCUAUAAAAAAGGCUCUUAAUGUUGUUAAUUUUCUUUCAGUUCACUUUCUGUUGACUCGGCUAUCAUGAGGUGUGAAGUGUUGGCUCAGAACAUGGUUUAUUAUGAGUAUUUAUAAAUAAAUCUAGUUCACCCACUGAGUCU